UACGGGGGGGCAAGCGUUGUUCGGAAUUACUGGGCGUAAAGGGCUCGUAGGCGGCCAACUAAGUCAGACGUGAAAUCCCCCGGCUUAACCGGGGAACUGCGUCUGAUACUGGAUGGCUUGAGUUCGGGAGAGGGAUGCGGAAUUCCAGGUGUAGCGGUGAAAUGCGUAGAUAUCUGGAGGAACACCGGUGGCGAAGGCGGCAUCCUGGACCGACACUGACGCUGAGGAGCGAAAGCCAGGGGAGCAAACGGG
rnacentral:rRNA from 1 species